GGGGCGUUAGCUCAGUUGGUAGAGCAGCUGACUCUUAAUCAGUUGGUCGCAGGUUCGACCCCUGCACGCCCUACCA
rnacentral:tRNA from 1 species